rnacentral:lncRNA from 1 species
GUGACUAGUUUCUCAAUAAUCAUGUGACCUACUUAAGCUUUUUUUUCCCCUGACACCGAAGAAGAGCAAAAUUAGUGAAAACUUGGAUGAAACCACUCUGUUGUCACAACUUCAUAAUGACCUUACUAACAAACUGGAUAUCAGCCCCAACAGCAUUUCUUCUCUUACAUUUUUGGAGAGCAAAGGUACAUGCUUCUGGAAACCCAGAGGAUGAAAUAGAUUACACAUAUGUUAUUAUAGGAGUUACUCUGGGAGCAGUUCUAGCAAUUGGUUUUGUAGCAGUAAUAAUCUGCAUGAUCAAAGCCCAAAUGAUUGACAGUGUCUUUGGAGAUUCAGAUGGCAAAAUGGAUAGAAGGUCAAACACGGGAUCAAGCCAAAACAGAUGACAGCAAUGCAGUAAGAAACCAAAGUGCAAGAGAUCAAUAACUCCUUUGCAAUCAACAGUUACCUGGUCUGAGGAUCAAUAGAAGUCUCUUGUGCACUGGCAGGAAUCUUACAAAUAUCAAUGCUUUUCUUUGUUCUUUAGUUGAAAGGCUGAUUGAUUGUUUACAGGAAGAGCUUAUAGUGCAGCUAACUUCAAUCACCUACACCCAAAAGGCCUGCAAUCCCCCUCAGCAUCUAUGUGAAGGAAAUGUAUGAGGAGAAUAAUAGAUAAAAUAGAUGAGCUCUGUUCACAAAUAGAUCCUCUUUAUUCUGUGAUAAGUAUAUGACUGUUUUCUAAAGUUAGUUAAAUCCCAGGUAAUCAGAAAGGUGGCAAUAUAAUUCAGCAGCAGAAUUCAUGGUCACACCAAUAUUUCAAGAUAAGUAAAUAAUGUUUUCAGCAACUUGGAAAAUCAUUCAUUUGGGGUCAAAACUAAACAAGGCUUCUUAUUUAUUUCAAGAAAUACAUGCUUUGUGUUACUGAUAAAACAUUUCAUUAACUUAAAGUUUUAUCAUUUUAGAUCUAGAACUGAUGUCUUCUGUAGGUGGUAGUGAUAAUUUCAACCAUUUAAAAUUAAUGAUGGCCAUUUAAAAUUAAAAAUUCCUUUUUUAAAUAAUGUUUUUCAUGUUCUGUUGACACUUCAUAUCAACACUGUACAAAUGAGCUAAUCUGUUAUUUCCAGAAUUUCCCUAUCCCUAUUUUUUUUAGUAUAAAGCAAUGCACUAAGUUCAAUCAGAAUUUGUGAAUGAUUUCAGUUUCCCAGCACCUUCAUUCUUGUUCUAGCCUUAUAUAUUCUGGUGGACUUGAUUACAUCAAAAUUGCUUUGCCUGGCUCCAAUUACAAGCUUCUUACGGUGGGAGUGAUGAGAAGAAAAAAUACAGUUUUGUUUCAGAACAUUUAGAGUAGUUUAAAUAAUUUAAAAUAAUUUAAGCCAAACUUUUACCAAAGCUUUGAGUUGGUGGCUUUGGUCUCAGUUCAGAAAAUAAUGCUAUAGAUGCUCUUCUGUUUAAUCCUCUUCUUUCAAGAAUGCUGUAUAUAAAAUAUUGUCAUCACAAGGCAUAAGAAAACAUGAAGAUUUUUUAUUUCAAGCCAGACUUUUUUGUUCACCUUGUGAAGAGAGGGCAGCCAAUGCCAGCUGUGGGAGCUUUGGGAACUUUUGGCCAGCAUCCUUUGCUAUUCCUACAGCUUCUCUCAGGAAACCCAGCAGAACUUUUAGACUUGGGGGCCUCAGGUAGAUGGCAUGCCCUACUGAAUUAAGUAAUAUCCCAAUAUUUCACAGGCAGAGCUUUAUGUUUUAGCAUUACAGGAUGACUCCAAACAGGAUGUUACACUGUUUUAUUGUAACUUACCAUUGUCCAGAUCCAAAGACCACAAACUGUAAAUAAGUAGGAUAUUCAUAACCUUUUAGCUUAAGCCAAAUGUCUACAGACAUAUGGGUUUUUUAAAUCUCUCACCUUACAUACAUUCCUAAAGUUCACUUUUAUACCUGCUUCUGCUCUCAGUGUGGCAGAUCAUAAUAAAGUAAGUUCUUCCCAGCUCUCCACUAAUAUAAGAGAUUUAAUCCAACUUUUUAAAAAAAAGCAAUUGUAAGACUGAAGUCCAACCUAGAAAUUCUGAGUGUUAUUAAGAAAUAUCACUCAGAAAAAUCAUGGAGACCAGGGCUUCCUAUCCACUAAUCAACUUUCAGAUCAGGCAGAGCUGAUGUGCUGGGUCAGGGACUUUGAGGAAACAUGCUGUUAGAGCAUUAGAGAAGAUAUAUCAGAAUUUUGUUUUUAUAAAGAAUAAGCUACUGUUAUACUUGUAACUGUAACUAAAGGGAUUUCAAUAUGGGUGUUUUUUGACUUUCACAAAGCAUGUCAUUUGUCAAAUGUGCAAAGGAAACUGGAUAGUAAUUUUUCCAUAAAUAUUGAACAACAAAGUGUAAAAUUUAUUUUGACAGAAGAAUGGUAUAUUGGAAUACUUUCCCUGGUUUCCUAGGUGUCUGUUACCCAUGUCAGUAACACUGCAGUUCAUUAGCAGCAUUUGCUAACAGAUAAACUAAAGGAGUAAUGUGAUACUUGUAAGUAAUUGUGUGUACAUGAGUAAGUGAAUAAAGCAUCUUGUAAGGUAUCUGUUAAUUGAUUUGCUUCCUGUAGUAUCAUUUUAAUUAAGACUUGGAACAGAAGAGAG